GAAUGUAACGAACUAAACGGAAAAUAAGAGAAAAAUGAAGAAAGAGAAACAGAUCCUUAUGUUUCUCUUUGCGAUUCUCUGCAACUUAUGAAUUUCUGCUUCUGCUCUAAAAUAUCGGAUUGUUGUCAUAAGUUCUCGUGGUCGAUCACCGCCGAGCUUGAUUUAUCCAAUAAGAGAAAUUUCCUCCGCCAAAUAAAGAUAAAGAAUCGAUAAGGUGACAUUUGAUAUCCAUUUCUGUCGUGGCUGGAGAGGUUUGAGGAAACGCUUUUGUGCUUGUUCAGAUAAAGAAUCGUUAAGGUGACAUUUGGUAUCCAUUUGGUAAUAACAUACUUUUUGAUUGUGUGAUACCCAGUCAUAAAUGAACAGUCGCACCUGUACACAUGGAGUACAUUCCAACUGUUAGUAAUAAACUUCAAAAUGGAUAACUAAAUAUUCAUACGGCUAAAGUUAUGUAAUAGAUGUUGGCUCAUACUUCUUUUCUAUUUAGUUUAUAGAAAAUUGGUACAUGUUAUCUUCUUGGA